rnacentral:lncRNA from 1 species
UUUGCUCCGGCUCAUGACUGUUGCUGGCAGAUAGCUGUGGACAGGGGUAGCAGCCAUGCCCAGUGCAGUGUUCUAUUCCACUGCAGUGCUCUGCUGCUGUCCACCAGGGAUGCACACAUGCUGACGUACAGGGUCUGGGACAGGCACAGGGAAGCCAAUGGCAGUUUCUGCCACUGCGACUGCCACUUAGUGCUGCUAAUGCUGCAUAAGUACAGGAGGGAGGUCGCAUGGGGGGGGGUGGCGCCUGUAUCCACAUAUGUGGAGCCACUGAAGCUGGAACAGAGGUGUUGCUGUGGGCAAAGGAAGGGACUGCCAGAGCUUGGUUCCCAAAAACCUAGAUUUAGGGAAGUUCAAACUGAAGUCUGUGUGUGUCAACAGUUUUUAGAAAAUCUGGCGUUUUGAAUGAAAGCAAUGUCCGAAACCAACUCAAUUUAUAUAAAUGUUGCUGUGACAUCC